rnacentral:rRNA from 1 species
GGUUUGGGAAACCAGGCAGUGGCGGACGGGUGAGUAACGCGUAGGGAUCUGUCCAUGGGUGGGGGAUAACUGUGGGAAACUACAGCUAAUACCGCAUGACACCUGAGGGUCAAAGGCGCAAGUCGCCUGUGGAGGAGCCUGCGUACGAUUAGCUAGUUGGUGGGGUAAAGGCCUACCAAGGCGACGAUCGUUAGCUGGUCUGAGAGGAUGAUCAGCCACACUGGAACUGAGACACGGUCCAG